rnacentral:tRNA from 1 species
GGUUGUGGCUCAGUGGUAGAGCACUUGCCUGGUACGUGUGAGGCACUGGGUUCAAAUCUCAGCAUCA